rnacentral:rRNA from 1 species
GAUGAACGCUGGCGGCGUGCCUAAUACAUGCAAGUCGAGCGAACAGACGAGGAGCUUGCUCCUCUGACGUUAGCGGCGGACGGGUGAGUAACACGUGGAUAACCUACCUAUAAGACUGGGAUAACUUCGGGAAACCGGAGCUAAUACCGGAUAACAUGUUGAACCGCAUGGUUCAACAGUGAAAGACGGUCUUGCUGUCACUUAUAGAUGGAUCCGCGCCGCAUUAGCUAGUUGGUAAGGUAACGGCUUACCAAGGCAACGAUGCGUAGCCGACCUGAGAGGGUGAUCGGCCACACUGGAACUUAGACACGGUCCAGACUCCUACGGGAGGCAGCAGUAGGGAAUCUUCCGCAAUGGGCGAAAGCCUGACGGAGCAACGCCGCGUGAGUGAAGAAGGUCUUCGGAUCGUAAAACUCUGUUAUUAGGGAAGAACAAAUGUGUAAGUAACUAUGCACGUCUUGACGGUACCUAAUCAGAAAGCCACGGCUAACUACGUG